AUUGAACGCUGGCGGCAUGCUUUACACAUGCCAGUCGGACGGCAGCACAGAGAAGCUUGCUUCUUGGGUGGCGAGUGGCGAACGGGUGAGUAAUAUAUCGGAACGUACCGAGUAAUGGGGGAUAACUAAUCGAAAGAUUAGCUAAUACCGCAUAUUCUCUGAGGAGGAAAGCAGGGGACCUUCGGGCCUUGCGUUAUUCGAGCGGCCGAUAUCUGAUUAGCUAGUUGGUGGGGUAAAGGCCUACCUAGGCGACGAUCAGUAGCGGGUCUGAGAGGAUGAUCCGCCACACUGGGACUGAGACACGGCCCAGACUCCUACGGGAGGCAGCAGUGGGGAAUUUUGGACAAUGGGCGCAAGCCUGAUCCAGCCAUGCCGCGUGUCUGAAGAAGGCCUUCGGGUUGUAAAGGACUUUUGUCAGGGAAGAAAAGGCUGUUGCUAAUACCGACAGCUGAUGACGGUACCUGAAGAAUAAGCACCGGCUAACUACGUG
rnacentral:rRNA from 1 species